CAGCACCUCAAGUGGUCAGGAUGAUUAUUGGGCCUAAAGCAUCCGUAGCCUGCUUUGUUAGUUUUCGGUUAAAUCCAUACGCUCAACGUAUGGGCUGCCGGGAAUACUGCAAAGCUAGGGAGUGGGAGAGGUAGACGGUACUCGGUAGGAAGGGGUAAAAUCCUUUGAUCUAUUGAUGACCACCUGUGGCGAAGGCGGUCUACCAGAACACGUCCGACGGUGAGGGAUGAAAGCUGGGGGAGCAAACCGGAUUAGAGACCCGUGUAGUCC
rnacentral:rRNA from 1 species